CAGCACCUCAAGUGGUCAGGAUGAUUAUUGGGCCUAAAGCAUCCGUAGCCGGCGCUGUAAGUUUUCGGUUAAAUCUGUACGCUCAACGUACAGGCUGCCGGGAAUACUGCAGCGCUAGGGAGUGGGAGAGGUAGACGGUACUCGGUAGGAAGGGGUAAAAUCCUUUGAUCUAUUGAUGACCACCUGUGGCGAAGGCGGUCUACCAGAACACGUCCGACGGUGAGGGAUGAAAGCUGGGGGAGCAAACCGGAUUAGAUACCCGAGUAGUC
rnacentral:rRNA from 1 species